GGGAGCCAAUCAGAGUCCCUCACGGGGGAAUAUAAAUGCUCAGGGACGGCUGUUCACCUGGGGUGUGAGAACGUCUCCUCCAUCCUUCCCGGAAGGCCUGUGUGUCCCUGCCCUGCGUACGUGCAGCUCGCUGCCUUUGUCCAGCAGCUUUGGAUACCCGGCCAGCGCCCUGGAACUGAAUUUCCAGGUCGUGCCGUGUCCCCACUUGAGAAUGCAGGAGGUCACUGGACACGGACCGAGAUUGGGACCUCUGGAGCUCCUUGAAGUCAGCAUCCCAAGUGCCUAGCACAGUGCCCGCCUACAAGGAAUGUUGGCUGAGUGUUGAAUGAACCACAGGAAAUUGAGAGUCAAGACGUGUUUAAUUGUUGGAUGAAAG
rnacentral:lncRNA from 1 species